rnacentral:rRNA from 1 species
AGUAGGCCUCAAAUAAUGUGUGA